GACGAACGCUGGCGGCGUGCUUAACACAUGCAAGUCGAACGGUGAAAGCGGAGCUUGCUCCGCUGGAUCAGUGGCGAACGGGUGAGUAACACGUGGGCAACCUGCCCCUCACUUCGGGAUAACUCCGGGAAACCGGGGCUAAUACCGGAUAUGACCUCCUUGGGCAUCCUUGGAGGUGGAAAGUUUUUCGGUGAGGGAUGGGCCCGCGGCCUAUCAGCUUGUUGGUGAGGUAGUGGCUCACCAAGGCGACGACGGGUAGCCGGCCUGAGAGGGCGACCGGCCACACUGGGACUGAGACACGGCCCAGACUCCUACGGGAGGCAGCAGUGGGGAAUAUUGCGCAAUGGGCGGAAGCCUGACGCAGCGACGCCGCGUGCGGGAUGACGGCCUUCGGGUUGUAAACCGCUUUCAGCAGGGAAGAAGCCGCAAGGUGACGGUACCUGCAGAAGAAGCACCGGCUAACUACGUGCCAGCAGCCGCAGUAA
rnacentral:rRNA from 1 species